UACGUAGGGGGCAAGCGUUGUCCGGAUUUAUUGGGCGUAAAGAGCGUGUAGGCGGCCAGGUAGGUCCGCUGUGAAAACUCGAGGCUUAACCUCGAGAUGUCGGUGGAAACCAUCUGGCUAGAGUCCGGAAGAGGAGAGUGGAAUUCCUGGUGUAGCGGUGAAAUGCGCAGAUAUCAGGAAGAACACCCGUGGCGAAGGCGGCUCUCUGGGCCUGACCUGACGCUGAGGAGCGAAAGCGUGGGGAGCGAACAGG
rnacentral:rRNA from 1 species